CCUGGGGGUGCCAUGUCCCUGGGGGGUCCCAUAUCCCGGGGGGGUCCCUCUGUCCCCGGAGGGGGGGGGGUCCCCAUCCCCACGGGGGUCCCUGUGGCCACCGUGUCCCCAGGGUGUCCCCACACCCACGGGUGUCCCCAUCCCCACGGUGUCCGGGGGGGGUCCCCGGGGUGUCCCUGUCCCGAGGGGGGGGUUCGGGGGGUCCCGGUGCCCCCCCCCCCAACGCGGGUGCCGCAGGCCCAUGUGGCCGCCUGUGCCCGGGCCAUGGCGGCGGCGCGGGACGAGGCCGAGCGGCUGCGGGAGCAGAACCGGCACCUUUGGGUGCUGCUGGCGGCCGAGCGGGCGCAGGGGUCCCGGCGCAGCAGCACCCAGCACGGCCCCGCGGCACAGCCCCGCCGGCAGCCUGGGGAGGGCACGGCACCGCACAGACCCCGGCGGCCUGCCACGGAGCUCCCCAGCGCGGUGCCCCGGGGGGGGGCGAGGGCGGCCGGCAGAGCCCCCAGGACGGCCCAGAGGCAACAGGGAGCUCGCGGGGGGUCGGAACCUCCCGGCCCCCCCCGGCCCCCCCCGGCCCCCCAGGGGGACCCCGACUUGGAGCAGGAGCUGCAGCGGCUGCGGGAGGAGGUGGCGGCCGGGAGGGAGGUGAUCGCUCUGCAGCACCGCUGCCUGCAGGAGGCGAUGGCGGCAGCGCUGGGGACCCCCCCCCCCCGGGCCCCCCCCGGGGCUGGACGAGGAGCGAGGGCGGCUGCGGCGGCUGCGGGGAGCCCUCGCCCGCGAACGCCAAACCUUCACCGAAGCCGCCGAGCGCCUGGCCUGGGAGUGGGAGCAGUUCGAAGCGGAGCGGGCGGCUCUGCUGCGGCAGCACCUCCUGAGCGCCCCCGAGAUGUGGGGCACCCCUGAGCCGUGGGGCACCCCUGAGCCGUGGGGCACCCCCGAGCCGUGGGGCACACUGGAGCCAUGGGGCGCCCCACAACUGGGGGGCAGCCCUGAGCUGGGGGGUGCCCCAGAGCCAUGGGGCAGCCCCGAGCCCCGGCCCUGAGCGGCUGCAGGCCAUCUGCGGGUACCGGGAGACGGAGCGGGCGCAGUGGGGGGGGGCGGGGCGCGCGGUGCUGGCCCGGUUGGGGGGCGCCUUCCCCCCGGGGCGCCCGGCCCAGCCGCUCGUCCACGUCCUCGACCUCCACCCGCGGGGGCACGUGGGGCCCCACCGGGACAGCGUGAAGGGGUGCUGCCCGGUACGAGUUCACCCACGAGAUCCUGCCCGACCACGCGUCCUUCUUCGGGGGCCGCCGGGUGCCGCGGGGCCGACGCGUCGCCCUCAUCUGCCGCAACGCUCCCCAGGAGACGACUCCGGACGCUCCUGGCGACUCCCCGGCGUUUAUUGGGGGCACAGAGACCGAGCCGCCCCCCCCCCCAAAAAACAGUGACCCCCACA